GAUGAACGCUGGCGGCGUGCCUAAUACAUGCGAGUCGAGCGAACAGACGAGGAGCUUGCUCCUCUGACGUUAGCGGCGGACGGGUGAGUAACACGUGGGUAACCUACCUAUAAGACUGGGAUAACUUCGGGAAACCGGAGCUAAUACCGGAUAACAUGUUGAACCGCAUGGUUCAACAGUGAAAGACGGUCUUGCUGUCACUUAUAGAUGGAUCCGCGCCGCAUUAGCUAGUUGGUAAGGUAACGGCUUACCAAGGCAACGAUGCGUAGCCGACCUGAGAGGGUGAUCGGCCACACUGGAACUGAGACACGGUCCAGACUCCUACGGGAGGCAGCAGUAGGGAAUCUUCCGCAAUGGGCGAAAGCCUGACGGAGCAACGCCGCGUGAGUGAAGAAGGUCUUCGGAUCGUAAAACUCUGUUAUUAGGGAAGAACAAAUGUGUAAGUAACUAUGCACGUCUUGACGGUACCUAAUCAGAAAGCCACGGCUAACUACGUG
rnacentral:rRNA from 1 species